GGUUUUGUACCAUUUUUUCAUUGUCAAUGUCAAAAAAAAGAAAAAGAAAAAUAAUAAUAAUGGACAAUUUUGAUGAACCCACUAAUUUAAUUUGAUCAUUGACACAUGCAUUUAUAUCCAUGCAUGAUUUGGAGGAUUUGAGAUUUUUUCCCUAAUAUAAAAUGACCAAAAAGGAAAUAUUGAAUUGUGAAACAAAUGUAACCCUACUCACUAUGUUCAACCUUAAUCCAACUUCAUCCAAUCUCACGGUAUAAUUAAUUUAGGGAGAAGCAAACCCAAC
rnacentral:lncRNA from 1 species